rnacentral:rRNA from 1 species
UACAGAGGAGCCAAGCGUUGUCCGGAUUGACUGGGCGUAAAGCGCACGCAGGCGGGUGCGCGCGUGGGGUGUGAAACCAGGUGGCUUAACUGCCUGUCGCCAUCCCAUACGGCGCGCCUGGAGCCAUCCAGAGGUCGGUGGAAUUGCCGGUGUAGUGGUGAAAUGCGUAGAGAUCAUGAGGAAGACCAGUGGCGAAGGCGGGUCUCUGGACAGUUCCUGACACUGAGGCACGAAGGCCAGGGGAGCAAACGGG